rnacentral:rRNA from 1 species
CCUACGGGUGGCAGCAGUGGGGAAUAUUGGACAAUGGGGGCAACCCUGAUCCAGCCAUGCCGCGUGUGUGAAGAAGGCCCUCGGGUUGUAAAGCACUUUCAGUGAGGAAGAACGCCUGGUGGUUAAUACCCAUCAGGAAAGACAUCACUCACAGAAGAAGCACCGGCUAACUCCGUGCCAGCAGCCGCGGUAAUACGGAGGGUGCGAGCGUUAAUCGGAAUUACUGGGCGUAAAGCGCGCGUAGGUGGCUUGAUAAGCCGGUUGUGAAAGCCCCGGGCUCAACCUGGGAACGGCAUCCGGAACUGGCAAGCUAGAGUGUAGGAGAGGAAGGUAGAAUUCCCGGUGUAGCGGUGAAAUGCGUAGAGAUCGGGAGGAAUACCAGUGGCGAAGGCGGCCUUCUGGACUGACACUGACACUGAAGUGCGAAAGCGUGGGUAGCAAACAGGAUUAGAUACCCUGGUAGUC